rnacentral:rRNA from 1 species
UAAGUCGGAUGUGAAAUCCCUGAGCUUAACUUAGGAAUUGCAUUCGAUACUGGGAAGCUAGAGUAUGGGAGAGGAUGGUAGAAUUCCAGGUGUAGCGGUGAAAUGCGUAGAGAUCUGGAGGAAUACCGAUGGCGAAGGCAGCUUCCUGGCAUAAUAUUGACACUGAGAUUCGAAAGCGUGGGUAGCAAACAGGAUUAGAUACCCUGGUAGUCCACGCCGUAAAC